AUGCAGAUCACUUUGGGUUUGCUACCAAGGUUCAGUUUGUAGUUGCUCUGCACACAUUGCUGAUGUGCGUGCCAACGCAGCUAUGCGGGUGACGCAUUAUAUGGCCGGCAACAAGCGCAACCUCUCAGAUAAGACUACGAGUUCUUACGUAGGAAUUCUAGGAGGUCGUGGACCCGUGGUUAUCGUAUAUUAGUUCGGAGAUUCUUCACUUGACAAUUUGCAAUGACUAACGGCCUGGAUUGAAGAUGCAUGAGGCAUCCCUAGAGAAUGGAGAUGAAUGAGGAAGUACUAAGAUAGUGAGAAAUGAGAUUCUAGCCUGG